CGUCUAUAUACGUAUAGCAUAUCAAUAAGCGGAGGAAAAGAAACUAACUAGGAUUCCCUCAGUAACGGCGAGUGAAGCGGGAAGAGCUCAAAUUUGAAAUCUUCAAGGUUCUACCUUGACGAAUUGUAGUUUAAAGAAGUGUUUUCUGUUGGAGUUUUGGUAAAAGUUCUUUGGAAUAGGACAUCAUAGAGGGUGAGAAUCCCGUAUUUGACCAUUAUUUCCAACUUUGUGAUACACUUUCAAAGAGUCGGAUUGUUUGGGAAUGCAGUCCAAAAUGGGUGGUAAAUUUCAUCUAAAGCUAAAUACUGGCGAGAGACCGAUAGCGAACAAGUACCGUGAGGGAAAGAUGAAAAGAACUUUGAAAAGAGAGUUAAACAGUACGUGAAAUUGUCAAAAGGGAAGCGUUUGACACCAGUGUUGUUUUCUCGAAAAUCAAUUAAAAAUGGCGGGAUGUUGUGUUGUAUUGACUUUAUCAGCUUUCUGCACUUUUUUCCUGUCUUUUUUAAUGCACUUUUCGUUUAACAAGUCAACAUCAAUUUCUUUUGUUGUAAAAGGGUCAUUGGAAGGUGGCUUCCUUUUCGGAGAAAGUGUUUAUAGCCUUUGCCUCUGCAAUCGGAGAGAUUGAGGUCUGCAGCGUAGAUCCUUCGGGGUUAGAUAGCAUUUGUGCUAAGUUAUAGCCUUUCAUAGACAACUUGUUGACUAUGAUCAGUCAUGUAGCUUACUCGCUUAUGCUAUUUUACCUACGCUUAGGAUGUUGAUCUGUAGUGCGUGCGC
rnacentral:rRNA from 1 species